UUCUCUCGAAAGUUGGUUUUU
rnacentral:piRNA from 1 species